CAGGUCUGUGUACACAGGAUGUCUGCAGCCUGGUCCAACAGCUGUCUAUAUCUCAGACCCAGUUGUGCCUUCUGCUCCUUGUUUUGCCUUCUCUUUGCUUGUAAUGGCGAGCUCCCACACACACUGUGAAGGACUCUUUAGACCAGAUUGUCUGUCUUUCUGCUCAGCAGCUCCAGCUGCCCGAAGGACCCAGAAGAGGUCCUGAGACGCCAUUGAAGUCACUGUUCCUAACACAGCAGCAAAGGAGAACAAACUUUACCCGCCACCUCUCUCUGCUGGCGUGUAGGACCCAGAUAUCAGAAGCACAAAGUCUAACUAAAGCAGGCUACAGGUGGUCCCACCUACAGCUGCUGCCUCUUUGACACUCAAAGGCUCCUCUAUUUCUUCCAUCGCUGUGCUGCGCAGAGUUUUCUGUUGGAUUGACACAAGCUAGAGACGUCAGGGAAGAGGGAACUUCAACGGAGAAAAUGCCCCCAGCAGAAUGACCUGCAGGUUUCCCCUGGCAUGUACGAAGAGGGAAACUCAGCACGCACAUUGAAGGACCAAUAGGCAAAGGGCGUGGGCUUUGGUAUGGAAGGAAAGCAGACUUUGCGGGACACCAGAAGUGCUUGCUUCAUGGAGGUAAAUAUAUCUCUUGAGGUCCCUAAAACAGAGCUGUGCGUUAGACCGG
rnacentral:lncRNA from 1 species